UACGUAGGGUGCAAGCGUUGUCCGGAAUUACUGGGCGUAAAGAGUGUGUAGGCGGUGCUCUAAGUUCGGUGUGAAAUCUCCUGGCUUAACUGGGAGGGUGCGCCGGAAACUGGAGUGCUCGAACGUGGGAGAGGAAAGCGGAAUUCCUGGUGUAGCGGUGAAAUGCGUAGAUAUCAGGAGGAACACCUGCGGCGAAGGCGGGUUGCUGGGCUGAUACUGACGCUGAGGCGCGAAAGCCAGGGGAGCGAACGGG
rnacentral:rRNA from 1 species